UACGUAGGGUGCAAGCGUUGUCCGGAAUUAUUGGGCGUAAAGAGCUCGUAGGCGGUCUGUCGCGUCUGCUGUGAAAACUCAGGGCUUAACCCUGAGCUUGCAGUGGGUACGGGCAGACUAGAGUGUGGUAGGGGAGACUGGAAUUCCUGGUGUAGCGGUGAAAUGCGCAGAUAUCAGGAGGAACACCGGUGGCGAAGGCGGGUCUCUGGGCCAUAACUGACGCUGAGGAGCGAAAGCGUGGGGAGCGAACAGG
rnacentral:rRNA from 1 species